rnacentral:rRNA from 1 species
GACGAACCGUGCAAACGUUGUUCGGAAUCACUGGGCUUAAAGGGCGCGUAGGCGGGCAAGCAAGUCGAAGGUGAAAUCCCACGGCUCAACCGUGGAAGUGCCCCCGAUACUGCUUGUCUUGAGGGAGAUAGGGGCGUGCGGAACUUCCGGUGGAGCGGUGAAAUGCGUAGAUAUCGGAAGGAACACCGGUGGCGAAAGCGGCGCGCUGGAUCUCUUCUGACGCUGAGGCGCGAAAGCCAGGGGGGCAAACGGG